GAUGAACGCUGGCGGCGUGCCUAAUACAUGCAAGUCGAGCGAAUGGAUUAAGAGCUUGCUCUUAUGAAGUUAGCGGCGGACGGGUGAGUAACACGUGGGUAACCUGCCCAUAAGACUGGGAUAACUCCGGGAAACCGGGGCUAAUACCGGAUAACAUUUUGAACUGCAUGGUUCGAAAUUGAAAGGCGGCUUCGGCUGUCACUUAUGGAUGGACCCGCGUCGCAUUAGCUAGUUGGUGAGGUAACGGCUCACCAAGGCAACGAUGCGUAGCCGACCUGAGAGGGUGAUCGGCCACACUGGGACUGAGACACGGCCCAGACUCCUACGGGAGGCAGCAGUAGGGAAUCUUCCGCAAUGGACGAAAGUCUGACGGAGCAACGCCGCGUGAGUGAUGAAGGCUUUCGGGUCGUAAACUCUGUUGUUAGGGAAGAACAAGUGCUAGUUGAAU
rnacentral:rRNA from 1 species